CAUGUACUCCCUCCGUCCGGAAAUACUUGUCGAAGAAAUGAAUGUAUCUAAAACUAAAAUACGUUUAGAUACAUCCAUUUCUCCGACAAGUAUUUCUGGAUGGAGGGAGUAUAUC
rnacentral:pre_miRNA from 1 species